rnacentral:rRNA from 1 species
UAACACGUAAACAACCUGCCUUCAGGAUGGGGACAACAGACGGAAACGACUGCUAAUACCGAAUAAGUUCCAAGGGCCGCAUGGCCCAUGGAAGAAAAGGUGGCCUCUACCUGUAAGCUAUCGCCUGAAGAGGGGUUUGCGUCUGAUUAGCUGGUUGGAGGGGUAACGGCCCACCAAGGCGACGAUCAGUAGCCGGUCUGAGAGGAUGAACGGCCACACUGGAACUGAGACACGGUCCAC